GACGAACGCUGGCGGCGUGCUUAACACAUGCAAGUCGAACGGAAAGGCCCUGCUUUUGUGGGGUGCUCGAGUGGCGAACGGGUGAGUAACACGUGAGUAACCUGCCCUUGACUUUGGGAUAACUUCAGGAAACUGGGGCUAAUACCGGAUAGGAGCCCCUGCUGCAUGGUGGGGGUUGGAAAGUUUCGGCGGUUGGGGAUGGACGCGCGGCUUAUCAGCUUGUUGGUGGGGUAGUGGCUUACCCAGGCUUUGACGGGUAGCCGGCCUGAGAGGGUGACCGGCCACAUUGGGACUGAGAUACGGCCCAGACUCCUACGGGAGGCAGCAGUGGGGAAUAUUGCACAAUGGGCGGAAGCCUGAUGCAGCAACGCCGCGUGCGGGAUGACGGCCUUCGGGUUGUAAACCGCUUUCGCCUGUGACGAAGCGUGAGUGACGGUAAUGGGUAAAGAAGCACCGGCUAACUACGUG
rnacentral:rRNA from 1 species